CCUGGAGUUUUGGAGAUGGGAUCCACAGGAAUUCAACACAACACGAAAUAAUCAACAAAUUCGGGGAAUGUUAAUCUGACCAUCACCAGUUACAAAUGAUGUUUCAUGCUACCUUCUAUUCCUGCCUUCAUAAAUCAAGGAAAAGAAAAAGAGAACAUAUAUCCCCCUACCUUUUGAUUUCCAACAGUCUACUGAGAGGCCAAGAUUAUUUGCAGGGAAAGAAAAGGGGAAUGCCAUCCCCACCCUCUCGCAGCUACGUGCCAGUUCCAGAGCACCUGUUCCCCUCUACUUUGAAAAGGUCAAAAUGUUUUGCCAGUAACUCCCAAAUCAUCUACAGCCAAGGAGAAAAGUGUUUCAAGACAGAGGUGCUCAAUGGUAUCAAAUACUGCCAACAGACCAAGUAAUACAUGCAUUGAAGUGUCUACUGGAUCUAGCUAUAUGAAUUUUUAAUUUAGGACACUUAGGCCAUACUGAAGCAAGGUGACAAAAUGAAUAGCUACAAUGUCUCGUGAAUCUUGGGUUUCCAUUCACCCUGGUAUUCAAGAGAAAUUCUUGCAUCAUGGAAGUUGCAGUUGGAUAGGACUUUCUCAGCUGAACACUGUCAUCUGCCAGAGCUUCAGGCAAGAACCCAGAACAGAUGAAACCCCAGACAUGACAAAAUAAGCCAAAGAAUACCAGGCCAAGGUGUGAAAGGCCAGAUGAGAACAAGCAGCGUACACGAUUCUGUUGCCAACAGAUCUCCCCUAACAGUGUCGUGCACCAAAUUUCCACAGUGAAUGUCAGGAAAAAAUGGCAAUUGAGGUGGGUGGUCAAAAGAGAAGCACAGUCUAUGAUGAAGUCACCCCAGAGAAGUCCUUUUUCCGUUUUCUCCUGAGAAAUUACCAGAAGAAA
rnacentral:lncRNA from 1 species